rnacentral:rRNA from 1 species
AGAGUUUGAUCAUGGCUCAGAGUGAACGCUGGCGGCGUGCUUAACACAUGCAAGUCGAACGAUGAAGCCUGGCUUGCCAGGUGGAUUAGUGGCGCACGGGUGAGUAAUGUAUAGCUAACCUGCCCUUCAGUGGGGACAACAGUUGGAAACGACUGCUAAUACCCCAUACUCCUUUUAGACACAAGUCUAAUCGGGAAAGUUUUUUCGCUGAAGGAUGGGGCUAUAUGGUAUCAGCUAGUUGGUGGGGUAACGGCCUACCAAGGCGAUGACGCCUAGCUGGUCUGAGAGGAUGAUCAGCCACACUGGAACUGAGACACGGUCCAGACUCCUACGGGAGGCAGCAGUGGGGAAUAUUGCACAAUGGGGGAAACCCUGAUGCAGCAACGCCGCGUGGAGGAUGACGCAUUUCGGUGUGUAAACUCCUUUUAUUAGGGAAGAAAUUGACGGUACCUAAGAAU